AGGCGGGCCUUAACCAUGGCAAGUCGAGCGGGCAUAGCAAUAUGUCAGCGGCAGACGGGUGAGUAACGCGUGGGAACGUACCUUUUGGUUCGGAACAACUGAGGGAAACUUCAGCUAAUACCGGAUAAGCCCUUACGGGGAAAGAUUUAUCGCCGAAAGAUCGGCCCGCGUCUGAUUAGCUAGUUGGUGAGGUAAUGGCUCACCAAGGCGACGAUCAGUAGCUGGUCUGAGAGGAUGAUCAGCCACAUUGGGACUGAGACACGGCCCAAACUCCUACGGGAGGCAGCAGUGGGGAAUAUUGGACAAUGGGCGCAAGCCUGAUCCAGCCAUGCCGCGUGAGUGAUGAAGGCCCUAGGGUUGUAAAGCUCUUUUGUGCGGGAAGAUAAUGACGGUACCGCAAGAAUAAGCCCCGGCUAACUUCGUGCCAGCAGCCGCGGUAAUACGAAGGGGGCUAGCGUUGCUCGGAAUCACUGGGCGUAAAGGGUGCGUAGGCGGGUCUUUAAGUCAGGGGUGAAAUCCUGGAGCUCAACUCCAGAACUGCCUUUGAUACUGAAGAUCUUGAGUUCGGGAGAGGUGAGUGGAACUGCGAGUGUAGAGGUGAAAUUCGUAGAUAUUCGCAAGAACACCAGUGGCGAAGGCGGCUCACUGGCCCGAUACUGACGCUGAGGCACGAAAGCGUGGGGAGCAAACAGGAUUAGAUACCCUGGUAGUCCACGCCGUAAACGAUGAAUGCCAGCCGUUAGUGGGUUUACUCACUAGUGGCGCAGCUAACGCUUUAAGCAUUCCGCCUGGGGAGUACGGUCGCAAGAUUAAAACUCAAAGGAAAUUGACGGGGGGCCCGCACAAGCGGUGGAGCAUGUGGUUUAAUUCGACGCAACGCGCAGAACCUUACCAGCCCUUGACAUCCCCGGUCGCGGACUCCAGAGACGGAGUUCUUCAGUUCGGCUGGA
rnacentral:rRNA from 1 species